rnacentral:rRNA from 1 species
ACCUACGGGGGGCAGCAGUGGGGGAUAUUGCACAAUGGGGGGAACCCUGAUGCAGCGACGCCGCGUGGGUGAAGGAGCGUUUCGGCGCGUAAAGCCCUAUCGGCAGGGAAGAAGAUGACGGUACCUGACCAAGAAGCCCCGGCUAACUACGUGCCAGCAGCCGCGGUAAUACGUAGGGGGCAAGCGUUGUCCGGAAUUAAUGGGUGUAAAGGGAGCGCAGGCGGGAAGCCAAGUCAGCUGGGAAAAAUACGGGCUUAAA